UACGGGGGGAGCAAGCGUUGUUCGGAUUUACUGGGCGUAAAGGGCGCGUAGGCGGUCAGCACAAGUCAGUUGUGAAAUCUCCGGGCUUAACUCGGAAAGGUCAACUGAUACUGUGCGACUAGAGUGCAGAAGGGGCAACUGGAAUUCUCGGUGUAGCGGUGAAAUGCGCAGAUAUCAGGAGGAACACCGGUGGCGAAGGCGGUUCUCUGGGCAUUACCUGACGCUGAGGAGCGAAAGUGUGGGGAGCGAACAGG
rnacentral:rRNA from 1 species